UUCUGGUUGAUCCUGCCGGAGGCGACCGCUAUUGGAGUUCGAUUAAGCCAUGCGAGUCGCGAGAAAUUAGAUUCUCGGCGUACCGCUCAGUAACACGUGGAUAACCUGCCCUGUUCAGGGGGAUAACCUCGCGAAAGUGAGAAUAAUACCCCAUAGUUCACCAUGCCUGGAACGGUUGGUGGAUGAAAGCUACGGCGGAACAGGAUGGGUCUGCGGCGUAUCAGGUUGUAGGGGGUGUAAUGGACCUCCUAGCCAUCGACGCGUACGGGUUGUGGGAGCAAUCGCCCGGAGAUGGAUUCUGAGACACGAAUCCAGACCCCACGGGGUGCAGCAGGCGCGAAAACUUGACAAUGCGAGAAAUCGUGGUCAGGGAACUCCAAUUAACGCAGUUUUUACUGUUGUCUGAACCGACUCUAAAUAGGUCGGGUAAUAGGGGCGGGAAAUAUCGGUGCCAGCCGCCGCGGUAAUACCGAAGCCCCAAGUGGUCGUCGAUCUUAUUGGGCCUAAAACGUCCGUAGCCGGUUUGGUACAUUCGUGGGUAAAUCAGACAGCUUAACUGUCUGAAUUCUGCGAGGACGGCCAAACUUGAGACCGGGUGAGGUGUAGGGUACCUGCGGGGU
rnacentral:rRNA from 1 species